GAUUGCAGUCCGUGCCUACUGCGACACGGAUUGGUACGGGUCUACGUGUGAGAAAUAUUGCAAGGCUACUACUAAUCACAGUCACUACAUGUGCCGCCUACAAACAGGUGCAAAAAUGUGCUUUGAAGGUUGGAAGGGAGACAACUGCGAUCAGGACAUCGACGAAUGCAAAGAAAUUGACAACACAUGUCAAAAUGGGGGAAGUUGUAGAAAUACACUCGGCAGUUUUGAGUGCAUUUGUAUCGAGGGAAUAAAAGGAAGGCGAUGUGAAAACAUCAUCAACCAAUGUGCAGUGGCACCAUGUCUGAACGGAGGGACAUGUAGCGGAAACGAAACAGCCUUCAACUGCACAUGCUCAGUA